UGGGGAAUUGUUCGCAAUGGGCGCAAGCCUGACGACGCAACGCCGCGUGGAGGAUGAAGGUCUUCGGAUUGUAAACUCCUGUUGAUCGGGACGAACAACCAUCGGGAUAACACCACGGAGGUCUGACGGUACCGAUUGAGGAAGCCCCGGCUAACUCUGUGCCAGCAGCCGCGGUAAUACGGAGGGGGCUAGCGUUGUUCGGAAUUACUGGGCGUAAAGCGCGCGUAGGCGGCUUUGUAAGUUAGAGGUGAAAGCCCGGAGCUCAACUCCGGAACUGCCUUUAAGACUGCAUCGCUAGAAUCGUGGAGAGGUGAGUGGAAUUCCGAGUGUAGAGGUGAAAUUCGUAGAUAUUCGGAAGAACACCAGUGGCGAAGGCGACUCACUGGACACGUAUUGACGCUGAGGUGCGAAAGCGUGGGGAGCAAA
rnacentral:rRNA from 1 species